AUUAUUAACAACACUUAUUCAGAAGAAAAUCUUGUAAAGAUUUCNGCAGAACUGAAUGUUGUAAAACUGAUCGAUACGUAUAAUAUGAAGAUGGCAAGAUUCAUACUUGAGAACAUCACGAAAAAAGUUGAACAUCGUCGUUACCUGUUAAAUAAAAGAA